CACCAGCAGAGGUGUCAGAUCUGUGUGGAUGUUUACUCUCUUCAGAUCAUCACAAGAUAAAAAUGUGGUGUAGAAUUAAAAUAAUGAUUACAGAAAACUGCUGGAGCCUCAGAAAUCACAGAGCAGCAGAAAACAAGAAGACAGAGAGAGAAAUGGAGACACAAACCAGUGAACCACAAGAAGAAAGAGGACAGAGAAAUGAUAGAUGUGGCAGUAUGGGCAUAAAGCCAAACUUGUCAUGUGAUUUCAAAACUAAGGUGAGAUUCUCUCAUCAAAACCCUUCAUCAAGAUCACACAACAUCACUGACGUCCAUCAGCAGCUGAAGACCUGAACAUCUUCUUCAUCAUCAUCAGAACACAGUCUCUUCACUCCUGGAUUCCUUCAGCUUUUACAGACUCAUCUGAUCACAAACAAUAAUCUUCCUCAGAUCAGAGUCUCAAUCCUGCUCUGUUUGAUACUGAAACUCUUGAACAUGCUUUCAGUGCAUAAGACAGAGAAACACUCUGAACAGACAGCUGGUCCAUCACAGAGAAACACACAUUCACAAACAAACAACUUCAUGUCUUCAGUUCACUGGAGAACUGAGCGACCAAUCCUGGUUUCUCCCAAGGUUUUUUCUCCAUUCUGUCACUGUUGGAGUUUGGGUUCUUGCCGCUGUCUCCUCAUUCAGUCGAGGACACUUAAUAUUCAACAGUAUUACUGAUCUGACUGUAUCUGAUGCUGCUGAAUGAGAGCUGAACUGAGCUGGACUGAGCCAGAACUGAUUUAAAGAUGAAAUGAACUAAUUUAAUGAUUGAUGAUCUUUACAACUGAACUGAAUCAACACUGAACUGAACUGAAUCAAAACUGAAUUGAAUCAACACUGAACUGAACUGAAUCAAC